rnacentral:rRNA from 1 species
CCCUUAGAGUUUGAUCCUGGCUCAGGAUAAACGCUGGCGGCGUGCUUCAGGCAUGCAAGUCGAACGGACCUUCGGGUCAGUGGCGGACGGGUGAGUAACACGUGAGCAACCUGCCCAGAAGUGGGGAAUAACUUGCCGAAAGGUGAGCUAAUACCGCAUGUGAUGGAUCUUCCCUGGAGGGUUCAUUAAAGGCUUCGGCCGCUUUUGGAGGGGCUUGCGCUCGAUUAGCUAGUUGGUGGGGUAAAGGCCUACCAAGGCAACGAUCGAUAGCUGGUCUGAGAGGACGGUCAGCCACACGGGGACUGAGAUACGGCCCCGACUCCUACGGGAGGCAGCAGCUAGGAAUCUUGGGAAUGGGCGAAAGCCUGACCCAGCAACGCCGCGUGGGCGAUGAAGGCCUUAGGGUCGUAAAGCCCUUUUGCGGGGGACGAUGAUGACGGUACCCCGCGAAUAAGCCACGGCUAACUACGUGCCAGCAGCCGCGGUAAUACGUAGGUGGCGAGCGUUGUCCG